AGUCAUGACGUGUGGGGCUGACUCAGCGUUUGGCGAUGACGUGUGGGGAUGACUCAGUUGUGCACUAUGACGUGUGAGGUGCUGACUCAGCAUAAACGAUGACAUGUGUGGUGAUUCAGUAGAAACGAUGGCGUGCAAGGUGACUCAACACAUUCCACCGGAGGAGAAAUCAACUGGUCACCGACUCCGCUCCUCUCUGGCGGCGCAAAGAAGCAAUUUUUUUUCAUCUCCUGUAUUUCAGUCACUUUACUUUUACAUAUAUUGCUCCACCCAAUAAUUGCAUCCCAAUUUCCCCAACUUCCAUACCCUAAUUCUCAAUUCUCUGCCGCUCAAAUAAUCGUUAAAGAAUUAUCAUAAUCAUGUUGUUCCUCCCAUCCAAACCCUAACUCUAGUUCCACAGCCUCACCGUUCUAGACGAGGGUGCCUGCGUCGGCGCCAUCCAGAAAUCAUGGAGCUGCGCGAUCGCCUCGACUGGUUGCAGGCUGUUCCUGGCCACGACCCCGUGCUUAUCCGAGACGCAACAAAGCUCAAGAUCUACGAACCCCGCCGGUAACAAAAGCUGGAGACUCCGAACGUUGUCCUCUAUCCAUUUGAUCGUCUUUUCAUGAGAUUUGUAUAUUGAAGCAGCAGUGAGGAAAUGCUAGAAUGCGGUAGGCAUAUGGACAAUGCAGCAAAAGCUUCAAGAGGGGUAUGCUCUAAACUCAAGAAGAGUCUGAAUAAAUCCGUUCGGACCCCUUUUGUUUGUAGCAAGAAGCCCACCAUUUCUUGCAACAAUCAGGCCGCUGUCGACUACCAUAACACUUGGAAAUAGAAGCAGAAACAUGGAUUCAUUCAUUAUCAUUAUGGUACAGUUACACAUGGGAAAUAAUGAUAUAGGCUUCUUUCCUGACCCUAGAGUUAGAGGCUAUUUUCAUCAUGAAAACACUCAACAAUUGAGAUGCUUCUCAACGUAGACGGAAAAAAACACAUGUUGAGAAGUAUAUGGAACUGCAUUUUACACUCUCAGUCAGUAUCAUCUAUCGGAGGUUAGUCAAUCCUAUCAUCAGCA